rnacentral:misc_RNA from 1 species
GAAAUGCGAUAAGUAAUGUGAAUUGCAGAAUUCAGUGAAUCAUCGAAUCUUUGAACGCACAUUGCGCCCGCCAGCAUUCUGGCGGGCAUGCCUGUUCGAGCGUCAUUUCAACCAUCAAGCCCCCGGGCCUGUGUUGGGGACCUGCGGCUGACCGCAGGCCCCGAAAACCAGUGGCGGGCUCGCCGACACCCCGAGCGUAGUAGCAUACUUCUCGCUCAUGGGCGUGCCGCGGGCACCCGGCCGUUAAACACUCCACACAAGGUUGACCUCGGAUCAGGUAGGAAGACCCGCUGAACUUAA